GCCCAUAUCAGGUUGAAACACCAGUUCUCGCGCGAUCACCAAAGUUAAGCAACAUCGAACCUGGUCAGUACCUAGAUAGGUGAUCGCUUGUGAGUACUAAGUGCUGUCAG